rnacentral:rRNA from 1 species
UUUUGGACAAUGGGCGAAAGCCUGAUCCAGCAAUGCCGCGUGUGGGAAGAAGGCCUUCGGGUUGUAAACCACUUUUGUACGGAACGAAACGGUCUGCUUUAAUACAGUGGGCUAAUGACGGUACCGUAAGAAUAAGCACCGGCUAACUACGUGCCAGCAGCCGCGGUAAUACGUAGGGUGCGAGCGUUAAUCGGAAUUACUGGGCGUAAAGCGUGCGCAGGCGGUUAUAUAAGACAGUUGUGAAAUCCCCGGGCUCAACCUGGGAAUUGCAUCUGUGACUGUAUAGCUAGAGUACGGUAGAGGGGGAUGGAAUUCCGCGUGUAGCAGUGAAAUGCGUAGAUAUGCGGAGGAACACCGGUGGCGAAGGCAAUCCCCUGGACCUGUACUGACGCUCAUGCACGAAA